UUCUAAGUCACAGGAUGAGAAGGAUGUUGGC
rnacentral:piRNA from 1 species